rnacentral:rRNA from 1 species
UGCGUAGAGAUCUGGAGGAAUACCGGUGGCGAAGGCGGCACCCUGGACAGAGCCUGACGCUCAGGUGCGAAAGCGUGGGGAGCAAACAGGUUUAGAUACCCUGGUAGUCCACGCCGUAAACGAUGUCGACUUGGAGGUUGUGCCCUUGAGGCGUGGCUUCAGGAGCUAAGGCGUUAAGUCGACAGCCUGGGGAGUACGUCCGCAAGGUUAAAACUCAAAUGAAUUGACGGGGGCCCGCACAAGCGGUGGAGCAUGUGGUUUAAUUCGAUGCAACGCGAAGAACCUUACCUACUCUUGACAUCCAGAGAACUUUCCAGAGAUGGAUUGGUGCCUUCGGGAACUCUGAGACAGGUGCUGCAUGGCUGUCGUCAGCUCGUGUUGUGAAAUGUUGGGUUAAGUCCCGCAACGAGCGCAACCCUUAUCCUUUGUUGCCAGCGGUCCGGCCGGGAACUCAAAGGAGACUGCCAGUGAUAAACUGGAGGAAGGUGGGGAUGACGUCAAGUCAUCAUGGCCCUUACGAGUAGGGCUACACACGUGCUACAAUGGCGCAUACAAAGAGAAGCGAACUCGCGAGAGCCAGCGGACCUCUUAAAUUGCGUCGUAGUCCGGAUUGGAGUCUGCAACUCGACUCCAUGAAGUCGGAAUCGCUAGUAAUCGUAGAUCAGAAUGCUACGGUGAAUACGUUCCCGGGCCUUGUACACACCGCCCGUCACACCAUGGGAGUGGGUUGCAAAAGAAGUAGGUAGCUUAACCUUCGGGAGGGCGCUUACCACUUUGUGA